CAGAGUGCAAACGCCAUGCUGGGAGAACCACUCCUCUCUUCAGAGCUGUCAGACGGGGACAUUUAAGUCUGCGGAAGUUGUCUGCUGCUUUUUGUUCAGCUAUGCUCUUCCCACAGAGGUGGAGUCUAGAGGCAGUAGGCCUUGUUGAGCUGUGGUGGGCUCCACCCAGUUCAAGCUUCCCGGAGGCUUUGUUUACCUACUCAAGCCUCAGCAAUGGCAGACGCCCCUCCCCCAGCCAAGCUGCCAUCUUGCAGAUCGAUCUCAGACUGCUAUGCUAGCAGUGAGCAAGGCUCCAUCAGCGUGGGUGCUGCUGAGCCAGGCACGGGAGAGAAUCUGCCGGUUGCUAAGACCUUGGGAAAAGCACAGUAUUUGGGCGGGAGUGUCCCAUUUUUCCAGGUAGUCUGUCACGGCUUUCCUUGGCUAGGAAAGGGAAAUUCCCCGACCCCUUGUGCUUUCAGGGUGAGGUGAUGCCCUGCCCUGCUUCGGCUCACCCUCUGUGGGUUGCACCCACUGUCCAACCAGUCCCAAUGAGAUGAACCGGGUACCUCAGCUGGAAAUCCAGAAAUCGCCUGUCUUCUGUGUGGAUCAUGCUGGGAGCUUCAGACCAGAGCUGUUCCUAUUCGGCCAUCUUGACUCUGACUGUAUUUAUUUUAUUUUGGGAAAUGUGCAGGCAGAGGCAGGCACUGUCGGGAUGGACAUCUUCAGAAAGCAUCUCUCCCAACACCUUUGUAAUGAGAUCUCUCAAUUUCCUCUACUCGGAGCUUGGAUUUUAUUUUCCUGACUGGAUCUUGACCAACACGACGAGCAACAAUGGCAGUUUGAACCCUAGCAGUGUAGGAAGAGCAAAUAUAUGGAUUUGAGAUAGUUUUUGAAAUUCUGUAUGAACUGACUGAAGACAGUGGAGAAAUGAGAUAAUCUACAAGCUACAUCUAGAAUUUCCUAGCACCCUGAGCAGGAUUAAUUAAUUUCUGGCCAAAGUUAGCUGGCAUUAACUUGACUAAGGAAAACAAAUGAACAUCAUGGACCUGCCCUGAAGCCCUCAUCAGUGGUCAUGAAGUCAGCAAUUGGAAUCAAGCUAAUAUCACUCCACCCAC
rnacentral:lncRNA from 1 species